rnacentral:rRNA from 1 species
CACGUAGGGCGCAAGCGUUGUCCGGAAUUAUUGGGCGUAAAGAGCUCGUAGGCGGUCUGUUGCGUCCGCUGUGAAAACUCGGGGCUUAACCCCGAGCCUGCAGUGGAUACGGGCAGACUAGAGGUAGGUAGGGGAGAAUGGAAUUCCCGGUGUAGCGGUGAAAUGCGCAGAUAUCGGGAGGAACACCGGUGGCGAAGGCGGCUCUCUGGUCCAUGUCUGACGCUGAGGCGCGAAAGCUAGGGGAGCAAACAGG